rnacentral:rRNA from 1 species
AUAGGCCACAAGGCGACGACGGGUAGCUGGCCUGAGAGGGUGACCGGCCACACUGGGACUGAGACACGGCCCAGACUCCUACGGGAGGCAGCAGUGGGGAAUAUUGCACAAUGGGCGAAAGCCUGAUGCAGCGACGCCGCGUGAGGGAUGACGGCCUUCGGGUUGUAAACCUCUUUCAGCAGGGACGAAGCGAAAGUGACGGUACCUGCAGAAGAAGCACCGGCUAACUACGUGCAGC